rnacentral:other from 1 species
AUUCGGAAGCGCCACCGCCCCACCCAGAAAGUUCACCUACAUCGUUCAGCCAGGGAGCCGCCCCUGUUCGUGGGCGUGCAGGCCCGCUCGGCGGGAAGCCCGAAGCGACUAACGUGGCACCCACCUACUUGUUGUAGGGGUUGGACUUCAAGGGAGGGGCGGUGGCUGCCCUU